GCACUGCUGAGGAGUCCUAUACUAGAACGAAACAGCCGUCCAGUAC
rfam:Schistosoma mattheei strain Denwood, Zambia genome assembly, scaffold: SMTD_scaffold0005055